CUGACGGAUUCUUUGGAGAAAACUGUGUCAACAGCUGUAACAAUACAUGUUAUGGUUGUAACAGAACGAAUGGUGUAUGCGAUACAGGAUGUUAUCCUGGUUGGAAAGGAGAAUUCUGUCAUAAUGAAUGCGAUGGCGGAUUUUAUGGAAUUAACUGCAGCAUGCUUUGUGGAUACUGCAUAAAUUUAGAACAAUGUCAUCCAAUUAACGGAACAUGCAUAAAUGGUUGUAAUGAAGGAAAUGAAGGGACUUUUUGCAAUAAAACAUGCAAAAUUGGAAGAUUUGGGCGAAACUGUCUGGAGAUGUGUAACAAAACAUGUUAUGGAUCUACAUGUAACAGAACAAAUGGUCUUUGUGACAACGGAUGUCAGCCAGGAUGGAAGGGAGAUUAUUGUC